rnacentral:misc_RNA from 1 species
GAAGAUAAUACUGUGUAUUUGCACUUUUCGGGUAUAAUCUUUCCAAAUAAGCGCGAUUGAAAAUGAUACGGUUCUUCACCAGGAAGGCCGAUAUCAACCCGCAGUAUUUGUUCACCAAAGUCAACAGACACAUUUUCUCGGGGUAUGUUCUUCGCAAAGAUGCUCAACACAACUUCGGUAAGAGAAUUGUAGUAAUCAUGCCUGUAUUUGGGCUUUGAGACCGCAGCAACCUUAGAUGCAUCAUGUGCAGAUGACCCAGAA